rnacentral:misc_RNA from 1 species
GAUGAAGAACGCAGCGAAAUGCGAUACGUAAUGUGAAUUGCAGAAUUCAGUGAAUCAUCGAAUCUUUGAACGCAUAUUGCGCUCUCUGGUAUUCCGGAGAGCAUGCUUGUUUGAGUAUCAGUAAACACCUCAACUUCCAUAUCUUUUUUUGAAAUGGGAGUUGGACUUGAGUGAUCCCAACGCUUUUCCUCACCGAAAAGUGGCGGGUUACUUGAAAUGCAGGUGCAGCUGGACUUUUCUCUGAGCUAUAAGCAUAUCUAUUUAGUCUGCCUAAAAAACAGAUUAUUACCUUUGCUGCAGCUAACAUAAAGGAGAUUAGUUCUUGUGCUGACUGAUGCAGGAUUCACAAGACAGCUUCGGCCGACUUUGUAAACUCGAUCUCAAAUCAAGUAAGACUACCCGCUGAACUUAAGCAUAUCAAUAAGCGGAGG